rnacentral:rRNA from 1 species
UACGGAGGGUGCAAGCGUUGUCCGGAUUUAUUGGGUUUAAAGGGUGCGUAGGCGGCUUUGUAAGUUAGAGGUGAAAGCCCGGAGCUCAACUCCGGAACUGCCUUUAAGACUGCAUCGCUUGAACGUCGGAGAGGUAAGUGGAAUUCCGAGUGUAGAGGUGAAAUUCGUAGAUAUUCGGAAGAACACCAGUGGCGAAGGCGACUUACUGGACGACUGUUGACGCUGAGGUGCGAAAGCGUGGGGAGCAAACAGG